AUUAUUUGUCGCUUUGAGUUUUUAUUUGUAAUGUUUGAUCAUUCGUCUUAUUCAGAAAAAAUAUGAAUUACUAUUUAUUUUGUUUGUGACUUGUUUUAUUAUCAAAAGUGCUUUAAGUAUAACUUAUCAUUUUUUAUAUUUACACUAAUUUUUUAAAUAAAACGAAUGGUCAAAUGUUGCAAACAAAAAGUCAAAGCGACAAGUAAU
rfam:Oryza sativa (indica cultivar-group) chromosome 10, whole genome shotgun sequence.